CAAACUGCCAUGACAACUGCUUUACCCAACAUUUUGGUUCACAGACUUAACUAAGAUCAGCCAUGUGGACAGAUUUGUAGACUGUUACAGGACUUUGACUCUCUGGAUCUGAAGAAGGCACCAAUCCCUGCUAAACCAUGAAUAUUGACACCAGCUGCAGCAUCAUCUUCAGACUCAGGAGAAGUCUUUCAGGGCGAUAGAUUUGAGAUUGAGUUCUCAUCUUCUCAGCUGCAACGACCGAUUAAAGCCUUUUUCCUUGGCAAUACUCCUCAUCUCAGUCAUUGGAUUUCUGUCCAGAGAGCAGCAACACCCACAUCAAAGUCUCAUGUUUUGGUACCAAAGACUUGAACUUAAAACCAUAGCCUGGAUCUUUCUCUUUGUCAAUCUUGAUGGCCACAAAUAUUCACGAGUCCUCACGUCACAAGAAAAAAAAGUUUUGAAUUUCUCUCAUCACCUUGAUGUUUAUAUUUAUGGUGUUUGAAGUUAACACUUCAUAUAAAUGUGCCAUGGGAAUUGACUACCGUUCUUUACCC
ensembl:lncRNA